ACACGACUACAUUAGAUACCCGCGUAGUCCUAGCCGUAAACGAUUACUCGCUAGGUGUCGGCCACGGUGCGACCGUUGUCGGUGCCGUAGGGAAGCCGUGAAGCGAGCCACCUGGGAAGUACGGCCGCAAGGCUGAAACUUAAAGGAAUUGGCGGGGAGCACCACAACGGGUGGAGCUUGCGGUUUAAUUGGAUUCAACGCCGGAAAUCUUACCGGGACCGACAGCAACAUGAAGGCCAGGCUGAAGACUUUGCCGGAUUAGCUG
rnacentral:rRNA from 1 species